rnacentral:rRNA from 1 species
AACGAACGCUGGCGGCAGGCCUAACACAUGCAAGUCGAGCGCCCCGCAAGGGGAGCGGCGGACGGGUGAGUAACGCGUGGGAACGUACCCUUUGCUACGGAAUAGCCUCGGGAAACUGGGAGUAAUACCGUAUGUGCCCUUCGGGGGAAAGAUUUAUCGGCAAAGGAUCGGCCCGCGUUGGAUUAGGUAGUUGGUGGGGUAAUGGCCUACCAAGCCGACGAUCCAUAGCUGGUUUGAGAGGAUGAUCAGCCACACUGGGACUGAGACACGGCCCAGACUCCUACGGGAGGCAGCAGUGGGGAAUCUUAGACAAUGGGCGCAAGCCUGAUCUAGCCAUGCCGCGUGAGCGAUGAAGGCCUUAGGGUUGUAAAGCUCUUUCAGUGGGGAAGAUAAUGACUGUACCCACAGAAGAAGCCCCGGCUAACUCCGUGCCAGCAGCCGCGGUAAAAUGCGUACU